rnacentral:rRNA from 1 species
AAACUAAUUUAAUUUGGCGGCAUUUCAUCUAAUUAGAGGAAUUUGUCCUUUAAUCGACAAUCCACGAUAAACCUUACUUAAUUUAUAAAAUUUAUAUACCGCCAUCUUAAGAAUUAAUCAACAAAUAUUUCUCACAAAAAACAAUAAAAAGUUAGGUCAAGGUGUAGUCAACAUUUAAGUCUGAGAUGAAUUACACUAAAUAAUAUUUAAAAAUUAUAAAUAUAAAAUUUAUAUGAAUAAGGAUUUAUAAGUAAUAUUAAAAUAAUAUUUUAAUAUGAUAAAGAUAAUAAAUGUGCACACAUCGCCC